GCUUAUCACGAAGAAAGGGACUAUCAUUCUCUUACAAACUUAGAAUAUUGUAAAGUGCGCAAGGCUCAAAUGAUCUCUUGAUUGGUUGUAUUUAAAAUUAGUUUCAUUGUCAGUGCAAUGUUUGUAAUUAAUGCAUGACUUCCUUUUUAGGCAUUUCAUUUAUGGAUUAGUUUUAGUGAUGCAAGGACUUUCUUAUAAUUUUGGAAAAUAUCAUAGAUUGUGUUUUAGACAUUAGAUGACACAACAGUACAAUGAAAUGGUAAGAUAUGUUUCCUGAUUGUGAGUAUGAAGGGGGCUAUGAAUGUAAAUCGUGUAAUAUUUUAGCGAGGAAUUAUCUUAUUUUAGUUUAUUUCCUGUUCAAAUCAAUAAAUCCAAAAUUUGAGUUACAUCAAAGUCGAUAUGCACAGCUACAUAGUAUUUCCUUAUUAUCUACAAAGUUUUAUAAAAUGUUGUGUGGUUUAAGUGGAAUUGUGAUGACAAACUGUUUCAGUAGUAUUUUUUGUCCAAAAUUGUUGUUUGAAAUGUUUCAACUUUCUGCAAGUUCUGUCUCUGAUCUGCUGAUUAAAAAAAACUUGCCCACAUACAUCUCAUGAUUCACAUUUAUAAGUUUUAUAUCAAGAAUGUGUUCUCAUGUGUCUCUGUAUGUCAUUAUCAUGAUUAAACUCUUUACCACAUGUAAACACAUUAAUAAGUUUUAUCUCCAGUAUCAUGAGUUUGUGUUAUCUUGUGUCCCUGUAGGUCAUUAUUCUGACUAAACUCUUUACCAUAUUAAUAAGUUUUAUCUCGGACUCCAGUAUGUGUUCUCAUGUGUCUCUGUACAUUUGGGUCAUUUUCUGACUAAACUCUUUACCAUAUUAAUAAGUUUUAUCUCGGACUCCAGGUAUGUGUUCUCAUGUGUCUCUGUACAUUUAGGUCAUUUUCUGACAAAACUCUUUACCAUAUUAAUAAGUUUUAUCUCGGACUCCAGUAUGUGUUCUCAUGUGUCUCUGUACAACAAGCAUGUUAAGGUCAUUAUUCUGACUAAACUCUUUACCAUAUUAAUAAGUUUUAUCUCGGACUCCAGUAUGUGUUCUCAUGUGUCUCUGUACAUUUAGGUCAUUUUCUGACUAAAUUCUUUAUCAUAUUAAUAAGUUUUAUCUCGGACUCCAGUAUGUGUUCUCAUGUGUCUCUGUACAUUUGGGUCAUUUUCUGACUAAACUCUUUACCAUAUUAAUAAGUUUUAUCUCGGACUCCAGUAUGUGUUCUCGUGUAUCUCUGUACAUUUAGGUCAUUUUCUGACUAAACUCUUUACCAUAUUAAUAAGUUUUAUCUCGGACUCCAGUAUGUGUUCUCAUGUGUCUCUGUACAUUUAGGUCAUUUUCUGACUAAAAUCUUUACCACAUAUAUCACAUUUAUGCAGGUUUAUCUACUGUAUGUGUUCUUAUGUGUCUCUCUCGGUUAUGUUCCAGACUAAAUCUUUUAUCACAUACAUCACAUUUAUAAGGUC